rnacentral:rRNA from 1 species
GACGAACGCUGGCGGCGUGCUUAACACAUGCAAGUCGAACGGAAAGGCCCUGCUUUUGUGGGGUGCUCGAGUGGCGAACGGGUGAGUAACACGUGAGUAACCUGCCCUUGACUUUGGGAUAACUUCAGGAAACUGGGGCUAAUACCGGAUAGGAGCUCCUGCUGCAUGGUGUGGGUUGGAAAGUUUCGGCGGUUGGGGAUGGACUCGCGGCUUAUCAGCUUGUUGGUGGGGUAGUGGCUUACCAAGGCUUUGACGGGUAGCCGGCCUGAGAGGGUGACCGGCCACAUUGGGACUGAGAUACGGCCAAGACUCCUACGGGAGGCAGGAGUGGGGAAUAUUGCACAAUGGGCGGAAGCAGGAUGCAGCAACGCCGGGUGCGGGAUGACGGCCUUCGGGUUGUAAACCGCUUUCGCCUGUGACGAAGCGUGAGGGACGGUAAUGGGUAAAGAAGCACCGGCUAACUACGG